rnacentral:snRNA from 1 species
AGGAGGGAGACAGUGAUCACAAAGGUGGUUUUCCCAAGGUGAGGCUCAUCCAUUGCAUUGCAGGGAUGCUGGCCCCUGCAAUUUCCCCAAAUGUGGGAUACUGGACU